UGGGGAAUUUUGGACAAUGGGCGAAAGCCUGAUCCAGCAAUGCCGCGUGUGUGAAGAAGGCCUUCGGGUUGUAAAGCACUUUUGUCCGGGAAAGAAAUCCUCUGGGUUAAUACCUCGGGGGGAUGACGGUACCGGAAGAAUAAGCACCGGCUAACUACGUGCCAGCAGCCGCGGUAAUACGUAGGGUGCAAGCGUUAAUCGGAAUUACUGGGCGUAAAGCGUGCGCAGGCGGUUUGUAAGACGGAUGUGAAAUCCCCGGGCUUAACCUGGGAACUGCAUUCGUGACUGCAAGGCUAGAGUAUGGCAGAGGGGGGUAGAAUUCCACGUGUGAGCAGUGAAAUGCGUAGAGAUGUGGAGGAAUACCGAUGGCGAAGGCAGCCCCCUGGGCCAAUACUGACGCUCAUGCACGAAAGCGUGGGGGAGCAAACAGGAUU
rnacentral:rRNA from 1 species